AUUGAACGCUGGCGGCAGGCCUAACACAUGCAAGUCGAACGGUAACAGGAAGAAGCUUGCUUCUUUGCUGACGAGUGGCGGACGGGUGAGUAAUGUCUGGGAAACUGCCUGAUGGAGGGGGAUAACUACUGGAAACGGUAGCUAAUACCGCAUAACGUCGCAAGACCAAAGAGGGGGACCUUCGGGCCUCUUGCCAUCGGAUGUGCCCAGAUGGGAUUAGCUAGUAGGUGGGGUAACGGCUCACCUAGGCGACGAUCCCUAGCUGGUCUGAGAGGAUGACCAGCCACACUGGAACUGAGACACGGUCCAGACUCCUACGGGAGGCAGCAGUGGGGAAUAUUGCACAAUGGGCGCAAGCCUGAUGCAGCCAUGCCGCGUGUAUGAAGAAGGCCUUCGGGUUGUAAAGUACUUUCAGCGGGGAGGAAGGGAGUAAAGUUAAUACCUUUGCUCAUUGACGUUACCCGCAGAAGAAGCACCGGCUGACUCCGUG
rnacentral:rRNA from 1 species